rnacentral:rRNA from 1 species
UGUCUCCCCCCUCUAAUCAGUGAAACUGAUCUCCCCGUGAAGAAGCGGGGAUAAAUUUAUAAGACGAGAAGACCCCAUGGAGCUUUAAGCUUAACGGCACCUAUUAAUUUUACACCCUUAUAUUCUCCUAGUGAUGCUUGUUCAGCUUUGGGUUGGGGUGACCAUGGAGCAAAAAAUAGCCUCCACGAAGAAAGGAACAAAACCCUUAUCAAAGAGUUACACCUCUAUGAAUUAGAACACUAACUUUUAAUGAUCCGAUAAUCGAUCAACGAACCAAGUUACCCUGGGGAUAACAGCGCAAUCCAUCUCAAGAGCUCCUAUCGACAGGUGGGUUUACGACCUCGAUGUUGGAUCAGGGUUUCCCAGUGGUGCAGCAGCUACUAAAGGUUCGUUUGUUCAACGAUU